rnacentral:rRNA from 1 species
UAGAGUUUGAUCCUGGCUCAGGACGAACGCUGGCGGCGUGCUUAACACAUGCAAGUCGAGCGGAAAGGCCCCUUCGGGGGUACUCGAGCGGCGAACGGGUGAGUAACACGUGAGAAACCUGCCCUUAGCUCUGGGAUAGCUCCGGGAAACCGGGAUUAAUACCGGAUAUGACCACGGUCGGCCUCGACCAUGGUGGAAAGAUUUAUCGNGCUAGGGAUGGCCUCGCGGCCUAUCAGCUUGUUGGUGAGGUAACGGCUCACCAAGGCGACGACGGGUAGCCGGCCUGAGAGGGCGACCGGCCACACUGGGACUGAGACACGGCCCAAACUCCUACGGGAGGCAGCAGUGGGGAAUAUUGGACAAUGGGCGCAAGCCUGAUCCAGCCAUGCCGCGUGGGUGAUGAAGGCCCUANGGUUGUAAAGCCCUUUCGGCGGGGAAGAUAAUGACGGUACCCGCAGAAGAAGCCCCGGCUAACUUCGUGCCAGCAGCCGCGGUAAUACGAAGGGGGCUAGCGUUGCUCGGAAUCACUGGGCGUAAAGCGCACGUAGGCGGCUUUUUAAGUCCGGGGUGAAAUCCUGGAGCUCAACUCAAAAACUGCCUUUGAUACUGAGAACCUUGAUUCCCGGAAAGGUGAGUGGAACUGCNNAUGUAAAGGGGAAAUCCUAAAAAUUCNCAAAAACCCCAUGGGCGAAAGGGCUCCCUGGCCCGGGACUUGACCUUAGGUGCAAAACGGGGGGGACAAACGGUUUAAAACCCCGGNAAUCCCCCCCNNAAACAUGGAUUUUACCCCUUGUCGGUUUUUUUUUNAGGGNCCCNCGUACGCAUUAACCUCCGCCUUGGG